AGUCCCCACCCACUUAUACGUCAGUCAGACAACAAUGGCGGCCUUCGCUGUAGCACGGAGCCGCUGCGUUCUGCUUUCCGGACUAAAAGCUUCUUUUAAAACAUUCGGACAGGUAAAACAUGGCGCGGCUUCGGCAGCCGUUGCACAGUCCGAGCUGCAGCAACAGUCGCGGCGGUGGUAUUCCGUUAGUCAUCUCUCCGUUCAGGAGAGGAUAGACAGAAAGAGGAAUGCUGCGCUGAUCGGAGGAGGUCAGAAGAGAAUUGACGCGCAACACAAAAGGGGGAAGCUGACAGCCAGAGAGAGAGUUGAGCUCCUGUUGGAUAAAGACUCGUUUGUAGAGUGUGACAUGUUUGUGGAACAUCGCUGCUCUGACUUCGGCAUGGAAGAGGACCACAACAAGUUCGCAGGGGACAGUGUGGUGACUGGACAGGGGAGGAUCAACGGAAGGCUGGUGUAUGUCUUCAGUCAGGACUUCACAGUAUUUGGAGGCAGUCUGUCUGGGGCUCACGCACAGAAGAUCUGUAAGAUCAUGGACCAGGCCAUGAUGGUGGGUGCUCCAGUCAUUGGUCUAAACGACUCUGGCGGAGCCAGGAUCCAGGAGGGGGUGGAGUCACUGGCUGGAUACGCUGACAUCUUCCUGAGGAAUGUGAUGGCUUCAGGUGUGGUUCCUCAGAUCUCUCUGAUCAUGGGUCCCUGUGCUGGAGGAGCUGUCUACUCUCCUGCCCUGACCGACUUCACCUUUAUGGUCAAGGACACCUCAUACCUGUUCAUCACAGGUCCUGACGUAGUGAAGUCUGUCACCAAUGAAGACGUCACUCAGGAGGAACUGGGAGGAGCUAAAACACACACCGCCGUGUCAGGCGUCGCUCACCGUGCGUUUGAGAACGACAUCGAUGCUCUGCUCAACCUCCGAAACUUCUUCAACUUCCUUCCCCUUAGCAACCAGGACCCCGCCCCCGUUACUGAGUGCCACGACCCCAGUGAUAGACUGGUUCCUGGUCUGGACACCAUUGUUCCCUUUGAGACCACUAAAGCCUACGACAUGCUGGACAUCAUCCAGGGGAUUACGGACGAGAGGGAGUUCUUUGAGAUCAUGCCUAACUACGCUAAAAACAUCGUAGUGGGAUUCGCUCGCAUGAACGGACGAACUGUUGGAAUUGUAGGGAAUCAACCUAAAGUAGCAUCUGGUUGUCUGGACAUUAACUCAUCAGUGAAGGGAGCUCGCUUCGUUCGUUUCUGUGACGCUUUCAACAUCCCCAUCCUCACCUUCGUGGACGUGCCUGGUUUCCUGCCAGGUACGUCUCAGGAGUAUGGCGGUAUCAUCCGACACGGGGCCAAGCUACUGUUUGCCUUUGCUGAGGCCACCGUCCCCAAGAUCACCAUCAUCACUAGGAAGGCCUACGGAGGAGCGUAUGACGUCAUGAGUUCCAAGCACCUGAGAGGAGAUGUGAACUACGCCUGGCCGUCUGCAGAGGUGGCCGUGAUGGGAGCCAAGGUAACACAACACACACCUGAGAGGAGAUGUGAACUACGCCUGGCCGUCUGCAGAGGUGGCCGUGAUGGGAGCCAAGGUAACACAACACACCUUCUACACAAGACCAAGGUAACACAACACCCACCUGAGAGGAGAUGUGAACUACGCCUGGCCGUCUGCAGAGGUGGCUGUGAUGGGAGCCAAGGUAACACAACACACCUUCUACACAAGACCAAGGUAACACAACACACACCUGAGAGGAGAUGUGAACUACGCCUGGCCGUCUGCAGAGGUGGCCGUGAUGGGAGCCAAGGUAACACAACACACCUUCUACACAAGACACACCUUCUACACAAGACCAAGGUAACAGAACACACACCUGAGAGGAGAUGUGAACUACGCCUGGCCGUCUGCAGAGGUGGCCGUGAUGGGAGCCAAGGUAACACAACACACACCUGAGAGGAGAUGUGAACUACGCCUGGCCGUCUGCAGAGGUGGCCGUGAUGGGAGCCAAGGUAACACAACACACACCUGAGAGGAGAUGUGAACUACGCCUGGCCGUCUGCAGAGGUGGCCGUGAUGGGAGCCAAGGUAACACAACACACACCUGAGAGGAGAUGUGAACUACGCCUGGCCGUCUGCAGAGGUGGCCGUGAUGGGAGCCAAGGUAACACAACACACCUUCUACACAAGACCAAGGUAACACAACACCCACCUGAGAGGAGAUGUGAACUACGCCUGGCCGUCUGCAGAGGUGGCUGUGAUGGGAGCCAAGGUAACACAACACACCUUCUACACAAGACCAAGGUAACACAACACACACCUGAGAGGAGAUGUGAACUACGCCUGGCCGUCUGCAGAGGUGGCCGUGAUGGGAGCCAAGGUAACACAACACACCUUCUACACAAGACACACCUUCUACACAAGACCAAGGUAACAGAACACACACCUGAGAGGAGAUGUGAACUACGCCUGGCCGUCUGCAGAGGUGGCCGUGAUGGGAGCCAAGGUAACACAACACCCACCUGAGAGGAGAUGUGAACUACGCCUGGCCGUCUGCAGAGGUGGCUGUGAUGGGAGCCAAGGUAACACAACACACCUUCUACACAAGACCAAGGUAACACAACACACACCUGAGAGGAGAUGUGAACUACGCCUGGCCGUCUGCAGAGGUGGCCGUGAUGGGAGCCAAGGUAACACAACACACCUUCUACACAAGACACACCUUCUACACAAGACCAAGGUAACAGAACACACACCUGAGAGGAGAUGUGAACUACGCCUGGCCGUCUGCAGAGGUGGCCGUGAUGGGAGCCAAGGUAACACAACACACCUUCUACACAAGACCAAGGUAACACAACACACACCUUCUACACAAGACCAAGGUAACACAACACACACCUUCUACACAAGACCAAGGUAAUGUCACAAUGGGAAAAGGUCAGUGCUCACUUGAAAACAUUCCCAACAUGUCUGCCUCUCUAACAUGUUCCCAGGGUGCUGUACAGAUCAUCUUCAGAGGGAAAUCCAACCAGGCAGAGCAGGAGGCUGAAUACGUAGAGAAGUUCGCCAACCCUUUCCCUGCCGCUGUCAGAGGGUUCGUGGAUGACAUCAUCGUGCCGUCGACCACCCGGAAGAGGAUCUGUAGGGAUCUGGAGGUUCUGGCCUCCAAGAAACAGACCAACCCCUGGAAGAAACACGCCAACAUCCCACUCUAACAGACACCUUCAACCACCCGACCUGUCGGUCUCCAAUUUCACCAGUAGCUUAGAGCAGGGCUCUCCAACCCUGUUCCUGGAGAGAUACCUUCCUGUAGGUUUUCACUCCAACCCUGUUCCUGGAGAGAUACCCUCCUGUAGGUUUUCACUCCAACCCUGUUCCUGGAGAGAUACCCUCCUGUAGGUUUUCACUCCAACCCUAAUCUAGCGCACUUGAUUCUAACAAUUUGUUGGUUGAUAAGCUGAAUCAGGUCAAACCUACAGGAAGGUAUCUCUCCAGGAACAGGGUUGGAGAGCCCUGGAUUAGAUCCACUUAUCUGUCCCUAACCCUGUGGGACUUGUUAGGAAGAAUCAGCAUUUUUCUGUCUGGUUAAAUUAACACACCUGCCGUGAAUCCAUAGACUGGUUAAAUAAAAUCAUUGAAAUUGUAAA